rnacentral:sRNA from 1 species
UACACUGCCCCACUGCCCUGCGCCCUCCACCCGGCCGGGCCCCUGCCCACGCUGUCUACCGUCCGGCAUGGGGCCCUGCAGCGGCUCCCGCCUGGGGCCCCCAGAGGCAGAGUCGCCCUCCCAGCCCCCUAAGAGGAGGAAGAAGAGGUACCUGCGACAUGACAAGCCCCCCUACACCUACUUGGCCAUGAUCGCCUUGGUGAUUCAGGCCGCGCCCUCCCGCAGACUGAAGCUGGCCCAGGGAAGACUACGAGGGCUGGAAAGACUCCAUUCGCCACAACCUUUCCUCCAACCGAUGCUUCCGCAAGGUGCCCAAGGACCCUGCAAAGCCCCAGGCCAAAGGCAACUUCUGGGCGGUCGACGUGAGCCUGAUCCCAGCUGAGGCGCUACGGCUGCAGAACACGGCCCUGUGCCGGCGCUGGCAGAACCGAGGUGCGCGUGGAGCCUUCGCCAAGGACCUGGGCCCCUACGUGCUGCAGGGCCGGCCAUACC